rnacentral:rRNA from 1 species
CACGUAGGCGCAAGCGUUGUUUCGGAGUUUAUUUGGGCGUAAAGGGCUCGUAGGCGGUCUGUGCGUCGGCUGUGAACCGGGCUCAACUCCGGCCUGCAGCCGAUACGGCAGACUAGAGUUCGGCAGGAGACUGGAAUUCUGGUGUAGCGGUGAAAUGCGCAGAUAUCAGAGGAACACCGAUGGCGAAGGCAGGUCUCUGGGCCACUACUGACGCUGAGAAGCGAAAGCAUGGGGAGCGAACAGG